UGCCAGCAGCCGCGGUAAUACGGAGGGGGCAAGCGUUGUUCGGAAUUACUGGGCGUAAAGGGUGCGCAGGCGGCGUCACCAGUCAGAUGUGAAAUCCCCGGGCUCAACCUGGGAACUGCAUUUGAUACUGUGAUGCUAGAGUUCGGGAGAGGGUAGUGGAAUUCCCAGUGUAGAGGUGAAAUUCGUAGAUAUCGGAAGGAACACCAGUGGCGAAGGCGACUUCCUGGGCCAAUACUGACGCUGAGGUGCGAAAGCGUGGGGAGCAAACAGGAUUAGAUA
rnacentral:rRNA from 1 species